GAUAGAGUUGUAGGUAUAUAGGUUGGUGGAGUUGUAGGUGUAUAGGCUGAUGGAGUUGUAGGUGUAUAGGUUGGUGGAGUUGUAGGUGUAUAGGCUGAUAGAGUUGUAGGUAUAUAGGCUGAUGGAGUUGUAGGUAUAUGGGCUGAUGGAGUUGUAGGUAUAUGGGCUGAUGGAGUUGUAGGUAUAUGGGCUGAUGGAGUUGGAGUUGUAGGUAUAUAGGCUGAUAGAGUUGUAGGUAUAUAGGCUGGUGGAGUUCUAGGUUUAUAGGUUGGUGGAGUUGUAGGUAUAUAUGUUGAUGGAGUUGUAGGUAUAAAGGUUGAUGGAGUUGUAGGUGUAUAGGUUGGUGGAGUUGUAGGUAUAUAGGUUGAUGGAGUUGUAGGUAUAAAGGUUGAUGGAGUUGUAGGUGUAUAGGUUGGUGGAGUUGUAGGUGUAUAGGUUGGUGGAGUUGUAGGUGUAUAGGUUGAUGGAGUAGUAGGUGUAUAGG
rnacentral:sRNA from 1 species